GGCGGAGCCUCCUCAGAGGUGAGCAAUGGAGAGUCGAUGGAAUCGACCUUCCCAGGGCUUCAGAUGAGAUUGAUCGUGAUCUAAUUGUUAAAACGUGUGGCAACGUGUGGAGGAUGAGCUGCUGGCGUUAAAUCACCUCUCCUAAAAACUCCCACGACCUUUCACGCUUCUUGGCCCCGCUAACUCCACAUGGCCUCCUCUCGACAUCUUGUGAAUUCUGGGACGAUAGGACCUCUGCUGGAGGUGUUGCCCAGGUAGGUGUUCGAAAGGGACUUUUGCUGCUGCCGGAGCUGGCACAAGGGGAGCCAAGCUGGCCCGGGCAGAAAGGCAGCCGAAGGGAUUGGCUGAAUGGUGGGAGACCAGCAUUUCAAAGUAUUAGGCAAAGUAUUAGACCUGUGGUGACUUUGGUCUGAGACUUCCCUUUUCUGCACAUCACCAAACCCCCAGGAGGCUCCAAAGAAGGAUCCAAAUUGUUUUUUGGAGAGGGUAGGGUAGGAGGAGACUCAAUUUAAUCUGAUCGAAUCUGUUCCCAGGACCCACUACAUGUAGUGAGGCCCAAUGAUAAAACAUCCAGUUUGAGCUCUAAUUCUAAAAUAUGUUUAACCCAUUUCUCCCUUAAGAAGUGCAGCUCGCUGCAAGCAUUAAUUUGACAUGAACACACUCUUUGAGGCUGAAGCUAAUCUGACCCAUGUUCAAUGUAAAAAUAAAACAUAAAAACGGUUCUUGGAGUUAUUUCUAAACAGAACUCGUCUGUAAUCCUAAUGUAACAGAAAUGUACACAUAAAUCAGAUUCAUAAAAUGAAUCUUCGGUAACUGUUCGAGAACGAUGUUAACAUCACACGUAGGAAUGCUCUGUUUUCUAGGAUUUGACAUUUUCAGUGAUCGAGAAUCACUAUAUUCUGUAAAUGGAAAUACCACUCCUAAAAACAGAAUGCUAUCAAUAGAAUGAUGUCAUUUGUUAAACUUAAGACUAGAAAUACUACAACGAUGCAAAAAUAAUAAGAGCAAGGUAUUUCGUGGCAAACUUCGGGGAAAGUUAGGACUGUAAUCCACGAGUUAUCUUGAGGUUAACGCUGGCUGCAGCUUCAAAGUGCCACUGGCAAGUUCUCGGGGCAAACAGGAAAUGGGCGGAAGUGCAGACAAAAGUUGCCCACCCCUUACUCCCUGAACGCCUCAUGUGUGCUGGAGACAGAGGUGCCCAUGGUUCCCUGCCUGUUGUCCCCCGCACUGGGCCCUCUCACAGGUCAUCUUUAGGGCCAUCACUUACUCACUGUGUUCCCUUUUCCACCCAGCAUGGUGCGUGGAUAUUUGCUGAAUAAAUACAUUUAAGCCUUUUACUUCUUAAAAGAGUAUCUUAAAAAUACUCUUUACUUCUUAAAGAGUAUUUUAAAGGCAUGUAAUGAUCACACGGGGUAGUUCCUUAGUCGGAGCCAUAAAUCCGACAUGUGAGUACUGUACUGGCUAAGGAGAAAGAAAGCUGGACACGACAAGGGAUUCCGGCUUUUAUUUUUCCCCCUUUUCACAAAACAAAGUAGAAGAAAUAUAGGAUUAAAACCACAAAAGUAGUUAAAUUGGUAGAACACCUACGUAUACACAAAAAAAAUCCAGAUAAGAAGACAGGCUUAUUUACAAUGAAGAAACACAUGUAAAUUAAGGUAGUUUGUGGUUUUCAUAUGAAACAUUAAAAAAAAAAAAA